rnacentral:lncRNA from 1 species
AUGUUAAAAAUCUGAUGCAAAAUAUUAACUUAGAAAAUCGAACGAUUUUUAUCAUAAAUUAUUUUAUCGUGUGUACGACAAAUUUCUUUACCAAGCAAGGCAAUUCUAGCAAAAACUGAACAUAACAAGGAUGUGACAUGUUUGGUAACAAAAUUAUUAUCCUCACAUCAACAUAACAUGCUAUCACAGGCAUUUGAUUUGCAAUGCUUAAAAUUCCGACAUUAAAUUUGUAUCAAAAUCCUAAAACAUUAUUGGCAUCCUAAUAUUUUCUUUUGAAUAAAGACACCCAAAGGAUAUCUUAGUUCUGAUUAAUAUCAAGGAAAACAAAGGCCAAUAUAAUCGAUAGAUAAGAGAACGUAGAACAACCAAUAAAAAUAAAAUUACAAUAAAAAGCAUCGUAGUCUUCUUCAAAAACAAAAGAUUUGACUCGUCCAUUAACAAAAACUAUUAGAAUGCCCUUUAACAAAAACUAGUAGAAUGCCCUGCGUUACAAUACAUAUAAAUGGAUCAAAUAAAUGAUUAGGAUCAUAACCAAAGUUGAAACUCAUUUCUCUCUUUGGUGUACGGCUGUCGAGCAGGCUCGCCAAAGUUCAACCGUCUCGAUAGUCCGGGGUCCCCCAAAUACAAGUCAUAUGUGGUGGAGAAAUUUGGUUGCCCGGACUAUCCACCAUGCUAUCUCCAACACGUGGGCUCAUACAGAAACCACACUCCAAGACGCAC